UACGUAGGGUGCAAGCGUUGUCCGGAAUUAUUGGGCGUAAAGAGCUCGUAGGCGGUUUGUUGCGUCGGCUGUGAAAACCUGAGGCUCAACCUCAGGCCUGCAGUCGAUACGAGCAGACUAGAGUGUUGCAGGGGGGACUGGAAUUCCUGGUGUAGCGGUGAAAUGCGCAGAUAUCAGGAGGAACACCGGUGGCGAAGGCGGGUCGUCUGGGCAACAACUGACGCUGAGGAGCGAAAGCAUGGGGAGCGAACAGG
rnacentral:rRNA from 1 species